rnacentral:lncRNA from 1 species
AUGAACAUGGGUGUACAAAUAUCUCGUCAAGAUCCUGCUUUCAGUUCUUUUGGAUAUAUACUCAGAAGUGGAAUUGCUGGAUCAUAUGGACCCAUCAUGCUGGCCCAAGGUGGAAAGCAAGAGAACUACAGAUUGUGGGAGAAAGAAAGCAGCGGUUCCCUGAAGGUAUUUCUUGAAACACUGGAGGAGAAUGGAGCUAGCUCAAAUGGGAAUAGUGCAUGUGGAAACAGCAGAAAGCCUCCCAACACUCAUUUUGUGCAGUGAGUCUCCUAUCCUGACCACAGCGAAUUGGACCAGGUGAGGGUACCUGAGCUAACCUGGGCUAGGGUCCCUUUCCCAGGAACUUUGAAUUAACACUAAGGGAUCCUCGCUUAUGUUCUGGCUGCUCUAUUAAAUGGAGACAAUGCAAAAAUGGGAGCUUGACCUGCCAUUUUGCCCGACCUAGCCUGCCCCUCAGAGAAAGUGAGAGGAGAAUGACUGAAGCCCAAUCACAGCAAGGGACAGAGACAAAAAGACCUGAGUGCUUUUCCAUCCUACGCUAGUCUCUGCUUGCUGAGGCUAAGUGCAUCCCUGCCCAGAAUCCUAAUAGCAAUUAUCCCCCUGUGCCUAUGCCAGCUCCAGUAAGUCCCUGGUAAAGCUCCUGCUGCUCCAUCUCAGGAGAAUCCCGGAUCCUGAUCAGUGCCUCAAUAUUGCAGAACAGAGGGAGUGAGGGAAAUAUUUAAUUUCCAACUCUGAAGGUCUACCAUGGAGAAGAGAGGAGCAGAAGGAAGAACUUAAUACUGGUGGAGCACUUGGUAAAAUGAAAAUAAAUAUUCUUUUUCUUUUUUUGAGAUGGAGUUUCACUCUUGUCUCCCAGGCUCGAGUGCAAUGGCGCAAUCUCGGCUCACUGCAACCUCCGCCUCCCGGGUUCAAGUGAUUCUCCUGCCUCAGUCUCCUGAGUAGCUGGGAUUACAGGCGCCCACCAUCACACUCGGCUAAUUUUUGUAUUUUUAGAAGAGAUGGGGUUUCACCACGUUGGCCAGGCUGCUCUUGAACUCCUAACCUCAGGUGAUUCACCCACCUCAGCCUCCCAAAGCGCUGGGAUUACAGAAAUGAGCCACUGCACCU